GCCAAAAUAAAAGCCGGUGACAGUUCUAACUCUCACCUCUUCAUUGUUUCCGUUCCCGCAGUUUCAGCUGGAUGAGCCGUUUUAACAGACGGACGGACAUUUACCGAUGGAUGGACAGCAGCAGCGGCCUGAUUCCCAGGAGUUUAGUGGAGAAAGCAGGACACCUAAACUCUGGCAUGGACAGCAUCGCCAUGGAGGGAGCCAGCAGCGUGAACGUACCGCCUUGAAGAAUGGGCAGCCUGGGGGCAAAGAUGGCCGAGUCAUUAAUGAACUGAUCACAGAAACCUCCUUCCAGCUUCAGUUCGACAGACAGACACAGGAAGACGUGAGAAAAG